rnacentral:rRNA from 1 species
GCCAGCAGCCAUAUCACCCUGCAAUUCACAACUGGCAGCCCACUGAAGCUCAGCAGCUGUGAGCCUGGUCAGUACCUGGGUGGGAGACUACCAGGGAAAAACUAAGGUUGCUGCUGGAA